GAGUUCAAGUCAUGGCCAGGCUACUCACUGGUCAAGUAACUUGUGCUUACAUUAAUUCGCCAUCUGCAAGUUGAGGACUCCAACAGAGCCUACCUCUCAAGAUAGUUGUGAGGAUUCAACAUGUGGUUCUGGAGGUUGGAAGUCGGAAGCGAGUAAGGCUAACAUCAAGGUGCGUGCAGGGCUGGGUCUUCGUGGCGGCUCUGUGGAAAGCUCCGUCUCUCACCUCUUCCAGCUUGACGAUGCGCGCGGUCCCUUCCGCCAUCUUUAAAGCCAGGUGCCUGCUAUUUUCUGACAGCCGGCCCGCCUCUUCUAAGACGCUCGUGAUUACAUUGGGCCCACCUGGAUCAUCCGAGC
ensembl:lncRNA